rnacentral:rRNA from 1 species
AUUGAACGCUGGCGGCAUGCCUUACACAUGCAAGUCGAACGGUAACAGGUCUUCGGAUGCUGACGAGUGGCGAACGGGUGAGUAAUACAUCGGAACGUGCCCGAUCGUGGGGGAUAACUACUCGAAAGAGUAGCUAAUACCGCAUACGAUCUACGGAUGAAAGCGGGGGAUCUUCGGACCUCGUGCGGACGGAGCGGCCGAUGGCAGAUUAGGUAGUUGGUGGGAUAAAAGCUUACCAAGCCGACGAUCUGUAGCUGGUCUGAGAGGACGACCAGCCACACUGGGACUGAGACACGGCCCAGACUCCUACGGGAGGCAGCAGUGGGGAAGUUUGGACAAUGGGCGAAAGCCUGAUCCAGCAAUGCCGCGUGGAGGAUGAAGGCCUUCGGGUUGUAAGCUGCUUUUGUACGGAACGAAAAGACUCCUUCUAAUACAGGGGGUCCAUGACGGUACCGUAAGAAUAAGCACCGGCUAACUACGUGCCAGCAGCCGCGGUAAAAC